UCUUUAGGAUCCGUGGUAUUCCCAAUUUUGGAUGUGCUACGUAGUAUCUUUGAUACACAAAACUUUUUUUCUGCCUUACUUUUAAUAGAACUAAAGUCAUAAUUUGGUUACUGCACGUCAUAUGAUUCUUCUUGAUCUUUGGUGGAAUCCAACUAUUGAAGAGCAAGCCAUUGACCGAGUGCAUCAAAUUGGACAAACCCAUCCAGUGAAGGUGCCACGAAUAACUAUAAAAGAUAUAGUUGAAGAUCGUAUAUUGGCUCUUCAGGUAUAAAAGAGGCAGAUCUAUGGCAUCACUAAUGUGCUUGAAGGGAUAGGAUUGAUAGAAAGGAAUCUCAAAAACAAGAUUCAUUGGACGGGCUUAGAUGAUGCAAUGACAGGAGAGGUUAAAAAUGAUAUGCCAACACUGUAGACAGAAGUUGAAAACCUAGCCUCGUAAGAAUGGCAGUUGGAUGAGUGCAUCAGGAAAAAUGCAAGAAAGCAUGAGUGUGCUCACUGAAGAAGAAAGUAAUCAAAAGCUGCUUUACUUGAUCGAAGAUGACAUCAAAAGACUACCCUACUUUCAGGUUUUUUACAUGUUUCCCUUGUUUAUUUUAAAAAUAAAUAUUAAAUUUUGGAUGUUAGUAAAGAUUACAGGAGCAACAACUAUAUGCUAUGUGGCACUGCAUUUGAACCUCAGGGGUGUGACUGAGAAGUACUUCGACGAAGAACUAUCAAGAAAGCUUUAAGCGAGAAGAUGGUUAAAGUCAAUGAGUAAAGAACAUUCAAGUCAAGAGGAUAAGUAACAUCUAUCAAGAUCUUUUAAGUUCAUGCAAUAAGUUGUAAUCAAUAGGAGUAGUUUUAAGUAUCUCCUAAUUAAAAUUUCUUUGUAUACGAGUAAUUAUGUUUAUUAUAGAAGUGUAAGAAUGAUAAUUUGUAUAUCUAUCUUGGUUGUUUAUUUAAUAAUAU